rnacentral:rRNA from 1 species
GAUGAACGCUGGCGGCGUGCCUAAUACAUGCAAGUCGAGCGAACAGAUGAGGAGCUUGCUCCUCUGACGUUAGCGGCGGACGGGUGAGUAACACGUGGAUAACCUACCUAUAAGACUGGGAUAACUUCGGGAAACCGGAGCUAAUACCGGAUAAUAUAUUGAACCGCAUGGUUCAAUAGUGAAAGACGGUUUUGCUGUCACUUAUAGAUGGUUCCGCGCCGCAUUAGCUAGUUGGUAAGGUAACGGCUUACCAAGGCAACGAUGCGUAGCCGACCUGAGAGGGUGAUCGGCCACACUGGAACUGAGACACGGUCCAGACUCCUACGGGAGGCAGCAGUAGGGAAUCUUCCGCAAUGGGCGAAAGCCUGACGGAGCAACGCCGCGUGAGUGAUGAAGGUCUUCGGAUCGUAAAACUCUGUUAUUAGGGAAGAACAAAUGCGUAAGUAACUAUGCACGUCUUGACGGUACCUAAUCAGAAAGCCACGGCUAACUACGUG